GACGAACGCUGGCGGCGUGCUUAACACAUGCAAGUCGAACGGAAAGGCCCUGCUUUUGUGGGGUGCUCGAGUGGCGAACGGGUGAGUAACACGUGAGUAACCUGCCCUUGACUUUGGGAUAACUUCAGGAAACUGGGGCUAAUACCGUAUAGGAGCUCCUGCUGCAUGGUGGGGGUUGGAAAGUUUCUGCGGUUGGGGAUGGACUCGCGGCUUAUCAGCUUGUUGGUGGGGUAGUGGCUUACCAAGGCUUUGACGGGUAGCCGGCCUGAGAGGGUGACCGGCCACAUUGGGACUGAGAUACGGCCCAGACUCCUACGGGAGGCAGCAGUGGGGAAUAUUGCACAAUGGGCGGAAGCCUGAUGCAGCAACGCCGCGUGCGGGAUGACGGCCUUCGGGUUGUAAACCGCUUUCGCCUGUGACGAAGCGUGAGUGACGGUAAUGGGUAAAGAAGCACCGGCUAACUACGUG
rnacentral:rRNA from 1 species